rnacentral:rRNA from 1 species
UGGAGGCAGCAGUGAGGAAUUUUCCGCAAUGGGCGAAAGCCUGACGGAGCGACGCCGCGUGAAGGAUGAAGGUUUUCGGACUGUAAACUUCUUUUAUGUGGGAAGAUUAUGACGGUACCACAUGAAUAAGCACCGGCUAACUACGUGCCAGCAGCCGCGGUAAUACGUAGGGUGCAAGCGUUAUCCGGAAUCAUUGGGCGUAAAGAGUGCGUAGGCGGUUUUUUAAGUUAGAUGUUAAAUCCUCAGGCUCAACUUGAGGCCUGCACCUAAUACUGGAAGACUUGAGAGUGGAAGAGGCAGACGGAAUUCCCGGUGGAGCGGUAAAAUGCGUAGAUAUCGGGAAGAACACCAAUGGCGAAGGCAGUCUGCUGGGCCAUUUCUGACGCUGAGGCACGAAAGCGUGGGUAGCGAUCGGGAUUAGAUACCCCGGU